GAGUUUGAUCCUGGCUCAGAUUGAACGCUGGCGGCAUGCCUUACACAUGCAAGUCGAACGGCAGCACGGGGGCAACCCUGGUGGCGAGUGGCGAACGGGUGAGUAAUACAUCGGAACGUGUCCUGGAGUGGGGGAUAGCCCGGCGAAAGCCGGAUUAAUACCGCAUACGCUCUAAGGAGGAAAGCGGGGGAUCUGACCUCGCGCUCAAGGGGCGGCCGAUGGCGGAUUAGCUAGUUGGUAGGGUAAAGGCCUACCAAGGCGACGAUCCGUAGCUGGUCUGAGAGGACGACCAGCCACACUGGGACUGAGACACGGCCCAGACUCCUACGGGAGGCAGCAGUGGGGAAUUUUGGACAAUGGGGGCAACCCUGAUCCAGCAAUGCCGCGUGUGUGAAGAAGGCCUUCGGGUUGUAAAGCACUUUUGUCCGGAAAGAAAUCCCUUGGGAUAAUACCUCGGGGGGAUGACGGUACCGGAAGAAUAAGCACCGGCUAACUACGUGCCAGCAGCCGCGGUAAUACGUAGGGUGCGAGCGUUAAUCGGAAUUACUGGGCGUAAAGCGUGCGCAGGCGGUUCGCUAAGACCGAUGUGAAAUCCCCGGGCUUAACCUGGGAACUGCAUUGGUGACUGGCGAGCUAGAGUGUGGCAGAGGGGGGUAGAAUUCCACGUGUAGCAGUGAAAUGCGUAGAGAUGUGGAGGAAUACCGAUGGCGAAGGCAGCCCCCUGGGCUAACACUGACGCUCAUGCACGAAAGCGUGGGGAGCAAACAGGAUUAGAUACCCUGGUAGUCCACGCCCUAAACGAUGUCAACUAGUUGUUGGGGAUUCAUUUCCUUAGUAACGAAGCUAACGCGUGAAGUUGACCAAUCACUA
rnacentral:rRNA from 1 species